rnacentral:rRNA from 1 species
GACGAACGCUGGCGGCGUGCCUAAUACAUGCAAGUCGAACGCUUCUUUCCUCCCGAGUGCUUGCACUCAAUUGGAAAGCGGAGUGGCGGACGGGUGAGUAACACGUGGGUAACCUACCCAUCAGAGGGGGAUAACACUUGGAAACAGGUGCUAAUACCGCAUAACAGUUUAUGCCGCAUGGCAUAAGAGUGAAAGGCGCUUUCGGGUGUCGCUGAUGGCUGGACCCGCGGUGCAUUAGCUAGUUGGUGAGGUAACGGCUCACCGAGGCCACGAUGCAUAGCCGACCUGAGAGGGUGAUCGGCCACACUGGGACUGAGACACGGCCAAGACUCCUACGGGAGGCAGCAGUAGGGAAUCUUCGGCAAUGGACGAAAGUCUGACCGAGCAACGCCGCGUGAGUGAAGAAGGUGUUCGGAUCGUAAAACUCUGUUGUUAGAGAAGAACAAGGACGUUAGUAACUGAACGUCCCCUGACGGUAUCUAACCAGAAAGCCACGGCUAACUACGUG